GACGAACGCUGGCGGCGUGCUUAACACAUGCAAGUCGAACGGAAAGGCCCAGCUUGCUGGGUGCUCGAGUGGCGAACGGGUGAGUAACACGUGGGUGAUCUGCCCCUAACUUCGGGAUAAGCUUGGGAAACUGGGUCUAAUACCGGAUAGGACAAUCGUUUAGUGUCGGUUGUGGAAAGUUUUUUCGGUUAGGGAUGAGCCCGCGGCCUAUCAGCUUGUUGGUGGGGUAAUGGCCUACCAAGGCGUCGACGGGUAGCCGGCCUGAGAGGGUGGACGGCCACAUUGGGACUGAGAUACGGCCCAGACUCCUACGGGAGGCAGCAGUGGGGAAUAUUGCACAAUGGGCGCAAGCCUGAUGCAGCGACGCCGCGUGGGGGAUGACGGCCUUCGGGUUGUAAACCUCUUUCGACAGGGACGAAGCUUUGGUGACGGUACCUUUAUAAGAAGCACCGGCUAACUACGUG
rnacentral:rRNA from 1 species